rnacentral:tRNA from 1 species
AAGAGCAGUAAUUUAAAUAAAAUAUUUAGUUUGCACCUAAAAAUUGUAGAAGUUUUGUAAUCUACCUACUUCUUUUUGCC